GAGUUUGAUCAUGGCUCAGAUUGAACGCUGGCGGCAUGCCUUACACAUGCAAGUCGAACGGCAGCACGGGAGCUUGCUCCUGGUGGCGAGUGGCGAACGGGUGAGUAAUGCGUCGGAACGUAUCCUGGAGUGGGGGAUAACGUAGCGAAAGUUACGCUAAUACCGCAUAUUCUGUGAGCAGGAAAGCGGGGGACCUUCGGGCCUCGCGCUCUUGGAGCGGCCGAUGUCGGAUUAGCUAGUUGGUGAGGUAAAGGCUCACCAAGGCGACGAUCCGUAGCAGGUCUGAGAGGAUGAUCUGCCACACUGGAACUGAGACACGGUCCAGACUCCUACGGGAGCAGCAGUGGGGAAUUUGGACAAUGGGGGCAACCCUGAUCCAGCCAUGCCGCGUGAGUGGAGAAGGCC
rnacentral:rRNA from 1 species